rnacentral:rRNA from 1 species
GAUGAACGCUGGCGGCGUGCUUAAUACAUGCAAGUCGAGCGAAAAGGCCCGGAGUUUGCUCGUUUCACGAUAGCGGAGGGGGGGUGAAUAACGCGUGGAUCCUCCCCUUAUCUUUGUGAGAUCUCCAGGAAAAAGGGGCGAUAACCGCGGAGAAUCUCUUGAACCGCGUGGUUGGUUGGUGAAUUUCGGCGGUGGGGGAUGGACUAGCGGCUUACGAGCUGGUUGGUGGGGUUGGGGCUUACCAGGCUUUUGACGGGUACCCGGCCUGAGAGGGUGAACGGCCACAUUGGGACUGAGAUACGGCGCAGACUCCUACGGGAGGCAGCAGUGGGGAAUAUUGCACAAUGGGCGGAAGCCUGAUGCAGCAACGCCGCGUGCGGGAUGACGGCUUUCGGGUUGUAAACCGCUUUCGCCUGUGACGAAGCGUGAGUGACGGUAAUGGGUAAAGAAGCACCGGCUAACUACGUG